AAUCGUUCGCCUCUUGCUUUAAAAUAUAAGAGGUCCCGCCUGCCCUGUGACUAAUAGUUUAACGGCCGCGGUAUUUUAACCGUGCAAAGGUAGCGUAAUCACUUGUCUUUUAAAUGAAGACCCGUAUGAAUGGCAUCACGAGGGCUUAGCUGUCUCCCUUUUCCAGUCAAUGAAAUUGACCUCCCCGUGCAGAGGCGGGGAUAAACACAUAAGACGAGAAGACCCUGUGGAGCUUUAGACCUAAAAUAAGCUACGUUUAACAGCCUGUAAAAUCAGAAAUAACUUAGUAGUUUUUAUUGAAGUGUCUUUGGUUGGGGCGACCGAGGGGUAAAACACAACCCCCAUGUGGACCGGGGAUACUAUCCCUAAUACCAAGGGCCUCCCCCCCAAGUAACAGAACUUCUGACCUUAUGAUCCGGCACAGCCGAUUAACGAACCGAGUUACCCCAGGGAUAACAGCGCAAUCCCCUCUAAGAGCCCAUAUCGACGAGGGGGUUUACGACCUCGAUGUUGGAUCAGGACAUCCUAAUGGUGCAACCGCUAUUAAGGGUUCGUUUGUUCAACGAUUAAAGUCCU
rnacentral:rRNA from 1 species